rnacentral:lncRNA from 1 species
UGAAUCGGCGUGUGAGAACGAGGGGUGCGUCACUUGAGUGGGUUGAGUCACUGGCGUGAUCUUCCUGUCCGGGUUGGCUCCCCCCCUUGGGUUGUGCUGUGGGGGAGAUCUUCGUGGGCUAUACUCGGCCUUGUCUCAGGAUGGUAAGUUGGUGGUUGGAGAUAUCCCUCUAGUGGUGUGGGGGUUGUGCUUUGGCAAAGUGGGUGGGGUUAUAUCCUGCCUGUUUGGCCCUGUCCGGGGGUAUCAUCGGACGGGGCCCCAGUGUCUCCCGACCCCUCUUGUCUCAGCCUCCAGUAUUUAUGCUGCAAUAGUUUGUGUCGGGGGGCUGUUAUAUCUGGAGUAUUUCUCCUGUCUUAUCCAGUGUCAUGUGAAUUUAAGUAUGCUCUCUCUUUUUCUUUCUUUCUUUCUUUCUUUCUUUCUUUCUUUCUUUCUUUCUUUCUUUCUUUCUUUCUUUCUUUCUUUCUUUCUUUCUUUCUUUCUUUCUUUCUUUCUUUCUUUCUUUCGGAG